rnacentral:misc_RNA from 1 species
GAUGAAGAACGUAGCGAAAUGCGAUAAGUAAUGCGAAUUGCAGAAUUUCCGUGAGUCAUCGAAUCUUUGAACGCACAUUGCGCCCACCGGUAUUCCGGUGGGCAUGCCUGUUCGAGCGUCAUUAUCCUCCCUCAAACCCCGGGUUUGGUGUUGGACCUCAAGUUGUGCGAACAACUGGUCUUAAAGACAAUGACGGCGUCCGGAGGACCCUCGGUGCAACGAGCUUUCUGGAGCACGCGUCGAGUUUCAAGGACCUUCCGGCCCGGUCUCUUUACUCCUUUCACAAGGUUGACCUCGGAUCAGGUAGGAAUACCCGCUGAACUUAAGCAUAUCAAUAAGCGGAGGA